rnacentral:rRNA from 1 species
UACAGAGGGGGCAAGCGUUAUUCGGAAUUAUUGGGCGUAAAGGGCGCGUAGGCGGCCUUUCAAGUGACGGGUGAAAGCCCUCGGCUUAACCGAGGAACUGCCUGUCAGACUGGAAGGCUUGAGACCGGGAGAGGUGAGUGGAAUUCCCGGUGUAGAGGUGAAAUUCGUAGAUAUCGGGAGGAACACCAGCGGCGAAGGCGGCGAUCUGGGGCGAUACUGACGCUGAGGUGCGAAAGCGUGGGGAGCAAACAGG